UAAUGGUCCAGAUCAAGACCUCUGUUAAUGUUUGCGAAAAAUCACUGUGGAGAAGAUCGUGUGAGACUCGGAUUGGUGUGUUUUCGUUGUGUGCUUCCAACAUGUGUGCAGGAGACCAGGUUUGAGAGAUUUGGCGGGAGAGAGGAUUUCUUCAUUGGACUAGGUUCGGCAGGGAGAGGAAAUCAGUUUGAUUAUGUCCGCAGCAGAGUCCAAGACCAUGGGUAAAGAUAAUUUAAUCAAUCUGUUGUUUUGGUUUGUUUCUUGCAUUACCGGGAUUUAAAAAAAUUGUGAAAUUGUGUUGUUCAUUGUGUCAAUGCAUAUGCGUAAGUGCACAUACACAUCCCUUUUCAAUGUACAAUGAUUCCAAGGUCAAGAUGCACAGCUUCGCGAAAGUUGCCUGAGUUGCAGGCCUGUUGUGCUGCCGCCAACAUACCACCGUCCUUUCAGCAUACCAUCUGUCGUUCCUCGACAAUACGACCAGAUGUAGUACUGAACAGUGGUAACGUCAUAGCCAGCAAAAACAUGGUUGUAGUUACCCUUCUAUCACUCCAGCUCCUAUCACCUCAUUGAGUGCUCACACAAGCUUUGUGACAUGCUCUCAUUUCCAUCUACUGGUCAGCUGCUAUCUUGCAGAUUUUUAUGUCGCCUAGCUUCCAUGCCAGGAAAGAUGAUUUCGAUGCACAAUGCAUAUUUGGUGAAAUACAGAUAUGUUGUGUUCUACUUGACCACAUUUUAAAGUUUUCUUUAUUCCACAAUAUCUCUGGCUAUGUUGUGAAUGAACAACCAGAUGGACUGUGUUGUACCUUCUGUAAAGUCAUCUGCCACAAUGGAUGAACGCAUGGCUUUCAGUUGCACUUACCAUUGAAGACGACAGUGAGAAGGUCUUUGCACGAUAUAUGCCAAACUUGACACUUGAUGAGAUGGAUAUAAAGAUGGUUGAACAAGUUCAUGUAUAAGUUUUACACAUGUGAUGUGGCGGACAAAGGUCUUGGCUUCAUGGUG